GACGUGAGAAGCGCUGGGCAGGAGCCGCUGCUCUCCGCUGACCGCCGAGCGCGGUGCCCGCCACCGGCCCUGGCUGCAGGUGCGACCAGCCAGCGCGGCGGGGCACGGAGGUGGGCCGACCGCGGGCCUCUAACGGGCGUUUCGUUGCCGGGCCGUGAGCCUCCGCCGGUGGAGCAGCCCGGAGCCGGGAACCCGCUGUCCUACCGCCUGGGCCGGUGUCAGUCGCCCAGAGGGCUGCUGGCUGAGGUGAGGGAGGGACCCCGCUGCUCCUGUGUGCGCAGGUAGAUCCGUAGGGCGAAUCCCCACAAGUGGAAUUAUUGGAUCACAUCUAAGUUUUCAUUGUUGGCAAAUGGCACCAAAUUACCCUAAGUUGCACCAAUUUGCAGUUUCACCAACAGUGUGUGUCACAGGAAUUUAAACUGUCAAAUGUAAGAGUUGUUGAGGUGCUAGUUGACUGAACCGCCAGAAAGGCACACACUACAGCUGUGAGUCCCGGAGUGCCCCGUUCUCCGAACAAGCAGAAGCUAUAAGGAUGAAAACGUGUCCCCAGCAGGGGAAAUGUCGCGAUCCUGCCUGAAACUUGGAAGAACAGAGGCUCUGAUGGCAUUGUGUGAGAAUUUCUGAAGAACUUGCCAACCAGGUUAAAGGGAACAUGGCUGUGAGACCAGAAAAGAUCGCUUCACAAAGUUACAGAACUGAAAGACUGAUGGUUGAAAGUUGUAAAUACUUGGCCUGGAGACCUGAGUUCAAACCCCUGAACACACAAGGUGAAAGAGAAUCAGCUUCCGUAAGUUGUCCCCUGACUCACGCUCUCUCUAAAUGUAAAAACCAAAGUGUACAUAUUUUCGUCUUUCUCUUUUUAAUGACUCUAUUCAAAAGUUACUGGUAAAGGAAGUGUCAUGGUUUAUUUGAGCACACUGCUUGUAUCUAUGUUUUUGUUUGUUUGCUUGUAUAGCUUUUUACUACUGUCAAUUUCAAGAACUAUUUUUUUUUUUGAGACUGAAUGUGAGGGGGCACAGUAGAGAAACUGAAAUAGCCACUAUGUGGAUAAAAAGGGGAAAAUUUAUUCCACACAGCCAAGGCUGUCCCUCGGGAAAACAGAGAGCAGCAAAGGGGAAGGGGGUGGAUCUUCAGGGCUAUUAGGGAAUGGGAGCCUGGGAGAAUGAGCGACUGUGAGCUGGAGUAGGGGC